ensembl:snoRNA
GCCCUUUCCCAGUGAAUCUGAAUGGCGGUCUUGCUGGUCAUAAAAGGAGGGCUAGCAAUACUAAAGCUGGCUUCACAGGCCUUGUAGUUUGCCAUUUAACACAAGGACUAGUUUCAAACAAAU